GCCAAAAAUCUAACCCUAACAAUUUUUAUUUUCGCCCAAAAAUCUCAUCUUUAAAUUAAAACAUUUAUUAGUUUUAGUAGAGGCGAUUGACAAAUCAAUUGGAGUUAUAUUUGAAGUACCGUAAGGGAAAAAUGAAAUAAAAAUGAAAUAAUCUUUAAGCAUAAAACAGUAGAGAUUAAAUCUUGUACCUUUUGCAUCAUGAUUCAACUAGUCUAACCAAGCAAAAUGAAUUUAAGUUUGUUUUCCCGAAACUAAACGAGCUACUUCGAGACAGUUUUAUGAACCAACCCAUCUCUGUUGCAAAAGAGUGGGAUGAUCUCUAAGUAGAGGUGACAGACCUAACGAGUUUAGUGAUAGCUGGUUACUUAAGAAACGAAUUUUAGUUCAACCUAAAGUUUUUUUAAUAAUAAUAAAUAAAUUCUAAACUUUAGAGUAAUUCAAAUAAGGUACAGCCUAUUUGAAACAGAAUACAAUCUAUGUAAACGGGUAAUAAAUUAAUUUAUUAACUAAGUAGGCUUAAAAGCAGCCAUCUUCUAAAAAGCGUCACAGCUUAAUUAUUAUUAAAUUUAAUCUCUUUAACUUCAUAAAACCCUUAGUUUAUAUUAAGUAACUCUAUACACUUAUAGAAACUAUUAUGUUUAAACUAGUAACAAGAAGAAGAACUUCUCUAAAAUGCAAGUGUAAAUCAGAUCGGACAUACCACUGACCUUUAACACCCAUGAGUUAGAAGUAAUAACUAAUCAAGAAAAUUUUACUUUACUUUAUGUUUACCUAACACAAGAGCAUUUAAAUGAUAGAUUUAAAGAAAAAGAAGGAACUCGGCAAACAUUAACCUCGCCUGUUUACCAAAAACAUCGCCUCUUGAAUUAUAUAAGAGGUCCAGCCUGCCCAGUGAUCUUAUUCAACGGCCGCGGUAUUCUAACCGUGCGAAGGUAGCGUAAUCACUUGUUCUUUAAAUAAGGACUAGUAUGAAUGGCAUCACGAAGGUUAUACUGUCUCCUUUUUCUAAUCAGUGAAACUAAUCUCCCCGUGAAGAAGCGGGGAUAAAUUUAUAAGACGAGAAGACCCUAUGGAGCUUUAAACUAAAACAAUUAUCUUAUUACUAACCUAAUCCUCAUGGUAAACAAACCUUUGAUAAUGUGACUUACAGUUUUCGGUUGGGGUGACCACGGAGUAAAACACAUCCUCCGCGAUGAAUAGGAUUAUUCCUAAGUAAAAAAUUACAAUUUUAUACAUCAACAAAUUGACACCAUUGACCCAAUAUUUUUGAUCAACGAACCAAGUUACCCUAGGGAUAACAGCGCAAUCCAUCUUAAGAGCUCAUAUCGACAGAUGGGUUUACGACCUCGAUGUUGGAUCAGGGUGUCCCAGUGGUGCAGUCGCUACUAAAAGGUUCG
rnacentral:rRNA from 1 species